rnacentral:rRNA from 1 species
CAGUAGCCACGGUAUACGGAGGGUGCAAGCGUUACUCGGAAUCACUGGGCGUAAAGGACGCGUAGGCGGAUUAUCAAGUCUCUUGUGAAAUCUAACGGCUUAACCGUUAAACUGCUUGGGAAACUGAUAAUCUAGAGUAAGGGAGAGGCAGAUGGAAUUCUUGGUGUAGGGGUAACAUCCGUAGAUAUCAAGAAGAAUACCUAUUGCGAAGGCGAUCUGCUGGAACUUAACUGACGCUAAUGCGUGAAAGCGUGGGGAGCAAACAGGAUUAGAUACCCGAGUAGUCCCUGUCUCUUAUACC